rnacentral:rRNA from 1 species
AUUGAACGCUGGCGGCAGGCUUAACACAUGCAAGUCGAGCGGGGGAAGGUAGCUUGCUACCGGACCUAGCGGCGGACGGGUGAGUAAUGCUUAGGAAUCUGCCUAUUAGUGGGGGACAACAUCUCGAAAGGGAUGCUAAUACCGCAUACGUCCUACGGGAGAAAGCAGGGGAUCUUCGGACCUUGCGCUAAUAGAUGAGCCUAAGUCGGAUUAGCUAGUUGGUGGGGUAAAGGCCUACCAAGGCGACGAUCUGUAGCGGGUCUGAGAGGAUGAUCCGCCCCGCUGGGACUGAGACACGGUCCAGACUCCUACGGGAGGCAGCAGUGGGGAAUAUUGGACAAUGGGCGCAAGCCUGAUCCAGCCAUGCCGCGUGUGUGAAGAAGGCCUUCGGGUUGUAAAGCACUUUCAGCGAGGAGGAAGGGGUGUGUGUUAAUAGUACACACCUUUGACGUUACUCGCAGAAGAAGCACCGGCUAACUCUGUGCCAGCCGCCGCUGUAA